rnacentral:SRP_RNA from 1 species
CCGUGCUAGAUGGGGAGUUAGCGGUGCCCUGUAACCUGCAAUCCGCUACAGCAGGAUUGAAUUCCUCAUUGAGGCUUUAUCUUGUAAGGUCUGCCCUGUAAAAGUGGCGUUGAGAGUUGGGUCCCACGCAAUGAAAGCCCAUGAACCCCGUCAGGUCCGGAAGGAAGCAGCGGUAAGUGGUCACUUUCAUGUGCCGUGGAUAAACCUGGCUUGAGUUAACUCUACAGGUAACGCUUAUAGGGUAAAGUCAAGGUGAGGUGCACGG